GGGGGCGAGCGCGCGCGGCGGCGGCGGCGGCGGUGGCGGCGGCUGCGAGGAGCUGUGCCUUUCACCUCUUCAGCCCCGGCAGGACAGGGGCGGCCGCCGCGGGCCCGGGGCGGGGACAGCACGCAGGCUCGUCGCGCACACCGCCGCCCGGCAGCGGCCCCGAUACCCGGGGCGAGCGGGAAAGCGGCGGCGGCCGCGGCGGCGGGGGAAGGAUGCAGGGGAAGAAGCCGGGCGGCUCGUCGGGCGGCGGCCGGAGCGGCGAGCUGCAGGGGGACGAGGCGCAGAGGAACAAGAAGAAGAAAAAGAAGGUGUCCUGCUUCUCCAACAUCAAGAUCUUCCUGGUGUCUGAGUGCGCCCUGAUGCUGGCGCAGGGCACGGUGGGCGCCUACCUGGUGAGCGUCCUGACCACCCUGGAGCGGAGGUUCAACCUGCAGAGCGCGGACGUGGGCGUGAUCGCCAGCAGCUUCGAGAUCGGGAACCUGGCGCUCAUCCUCUUCGUGAGCUACUUCGGGGCGCGCGGGCACCGGCCGCGCCUCAUCGGCUGCGGCGGCAUCGUCAUGGCCCUGGGCGCGCUGCUGUCGGCGCUGCCGGAGUUCCUGACCCACCAGUACAAGUACGAGGCGGGCGAGAUCCGCUGGGGCGCCGAGGGCCGCGACGUCUGCGCCGCCAACGGCUCGGGUGGCGACCAGGGCCCCGACCCGGACCUCAUCUGCCGCAGCCGAACCGCCACCAACAUGAUGUACUUGCUGCUCAUUGGGGCCCAGGUGCUCCUGGGCAUCGGUGCUACCCCCGUGCAGCCUCUGGGCGUCUCCUACAUCGACGACCACGUGCGGAGGAAGGACUCCUCGCUCUACAUAGGAAUCCUUUUCACGAUGCUGGUAUUUGGACCAGCCUGUGGAUUUAUCCUGGGCUCUUUCUGUACCAAAAUGUACGUGGAUGCCGUCUUCAUUGACACAAGUAACCUGGACAUCACUCCAGACGACCCCCGCUGGAUCGGAGCCUGGUGGGGUGGCUUUCUGCUCUGCGGUGCCUUACUCUUCUUCUCUUCCCUCUUGAUGUUCGGGUUUCCACAGUCUCUGCCCCCGCACUCAGACCCUGCCAUGGAGAGCGAGCAGGCCAUGCUCCCCGAAAGAGAGUACGAGAGACCCAAGCCCAGCAACGGGGUCCUGAGGCACCCCCUGGAGCCGGACAGCAGCGCCUCCUGCUUCCAGCAGCUGAAAGUGAUCCCGAAGGUCACCAAGCACCUGCUCUCAAACCCUGUGUUCACCUGCAUCAUCCUGGCCGCUUGCAUGGAGAUCGCGGUGGUGGCUGGCUUUGCUGCCUUCUUGGGGAAGUACCUGGAGCAGCAGUUUAACCUUACCACCUCUUCUGCCAACCAGCUGCUCGGGAUGACUGCGAUCCCCUGUGCCUGCCUGGGGAUCUUCUUGGGUGGUCUCCUGGUGAAGAAGCUCAGUCUUUCUGCCCUCGGGGCCAUUCGGAUGGCCAUGCUCGUCAACCUGGUGUCCACAGCUUGCUACGUCUCCUUCCUCUUCCUGGGCUGCGACACGGGCCCCGUGGCUGGGGUUACUGUUCCCUAUGGAAACACCUCAGCCCCUGGCUCGGCCCUGGACCCCUACUCACCCUGCAAUAAAAACUGUGAAUGCCAAACCGAUUCCUUCACGCCAGUGUGCGGGGCCGAUGGCGUCACCUACCUGUCUGCCUGCUUUGCUGGCUGCAACAGCACGAAUCUCACCGGCUGUGCGUGCCUCACGACCGUCCCGCCCGAGAACACGACUGUGGUUCCUGGAAAGUGCCCCAGUCCCGGGUGCCAAGAGGCCUUCCUCACCUUCCUGUGUGUGAUGUGUGUCUGCAGCAUGAUCGGGGCAAUGGCACAGACACCCUCGGUCAUCAUCCUUAUCAGGACAGUCAGCCCUGAACUCAAGUCUUACGCCCUGGGAGUCCUGUUCCUCCUCCUCCGUUUGUUGGGCUUCAUCCCCCCUCCCCUCAUCUUCGGGGCCGGCAUCGACUCCACCUGCCUGUUCUGGAGCACGUUCUGCGGGGAGCAAGGCGCCUGUGUCCUGUACGACAACGUGGCCUACAGAUACCUGUACGUCAGCAUCGCCAUCGUGCUGAAGUCGUCCGCCUUCGUCCUCUACACGACCACGUGGCAGUGCCUGCGGAAAAACUAUAAACGCUACAUCAAAAACCACGAGGGCGGGCUGAGCACCAGUGAGUUCUUUGCCUCUACUCUGACCCUAGACAAUCUGGGGAGGGACCCUGUGCCCGCAAGCCAGACCCAUAGGACAAAAUUUAUCUAUAACCUUGAAGAUCAUGAGUGGUGUGAAAACAUGGAGUCCGUUUUAUAGUGGUGGAAGGAGGUUGAACUCUGUAUUAGUAAUCCAAGGGUCAUUUUUCCUAGGAAAAAAAAAAAAAAGUUAAAAAAAAAACCAACUCCGUACAGAGACACACACACAUACACACACACACACACACACACACAUACACACAACACGACCUUUGUCCUCUUAAAAUCAGAGCCAGACAGAAUUCAGAAUAAGGAGAGCGUGGGAUCGUGUGUCUGACGUCCAACCUGCUGGGGCCCAGAGUCUACUCUUUGAAGGCACCUCAUGCUUUUUCGGGAUGCCGACAGCUGCAAGCAACAAGCACUGCCAAUUUCAGGGAACAGUGGUGGCCAGCUUGGAGAAUGGACGUUUCUGGAGAUACAUAAUACACGUACAAAACAAAUUUUUUUUUAAAGUCUACUAAGCAUCACAAGUUGACAACAUGGCCAGGAUAAGCACUAGGGACACACACCCCCGUGCCACCUGCCCCCUCCUCGUGAGGGUGGGGAGCGGGCAAGGCGGAGGAGCGGGCGCCCCCUCCUCUAACCUCUCGCAAUAUGGGUCACGGUGUAGACGACUCACCCAGUCUGCCUGUGGUUCAAGGCCCCAGAGUUCUCUCAGCGAUGCUAAUGGGUGAUCCGUGCUGGAGUCUCUAACUGGCACCUCUCACCAGCUCCAUGUUCAUGUUCAAGACUGAGGGCCCAAGGGGGGGAGCCAGGCGUGGGGGGCCAGCACCUCAUCUCCCCCCACCGCAGCACCCCCCAGCCCCGCAGAGUGACCUCAGGAAGCAGUGGGCCUCGCCUGGCUAUGACUGACUUUGCUCAGAGCCGGUGAAACCCAUACAGUCCAAGUCAUUUGCUUACAUUUGCCAAACAUUUUGCCAUUUUUAAAGAAAAAAAAAAUGCAAUGCAUAUGAAUUUCAAACUGUUGUAUGUAUAAUCCUCUAAUACUAUUUUUAACCACUUCUAAAAUCCGUGUUAACCCUUCAAUCACUAACACAGUUCUCUAGGCUGAGUUUAUGACGCUGGUUGGUUUUUCCUUUCCUCCUUUUUUUAUGCACCAAAAAUAUAAUGUGAUUCAAGGGAUGCAAUUAAUCUAUUGUAAUUUUUUUUUAUCGUUUUAUCCUCAUUUGGAUAUUCUGCAAAAACAAGAAUAUACCAUGUGCUACGAGAAGGAAAAAAAAAAUGCUUGAGAAAGAGUGUCUAUGCAGCCUGCCUUUAAAAGAAUCACAUUUGAGACAACAGGGGAUAAUGUGAUGAAUUGCAAAUUCGCCUUCUGGCUUUAUUCCCCGUGAUUCAGUGAUCACUGUCACGGGAAGCCCUUUUAUAUUCAUGUUUCACAUUCCGAGAGGCGUUCUUCUCAGCUCGUGGAGGAGACACGCUUAGAUGUGGGCUGUGUGGAUGGGUGCGGUGCUUCUGGGGAUAGGCAAGAGAAGGGAUGGUCCCCUAGCACGAGCUGUCAAGCCAUUUGUGGGGUCUGUGUUGGUAAAUAGACCCACGGGGUCAUGGAAGGCACCGCAUGACCGAUGCAAUAAAAGGUCACUGUUUUUAGGGUCGGUCUUGAACGGAGAGACCUCGGUCUGUGUUCUGGGCGUGGCUAACUCUCCAGCAGCUAGCCGGCAAACCUCAUCGUUCGGGAGGGGAAUCGUGGGAAAAGCUCUUGGGAGUCCGCGGUAUCAGCCUCCUAAGGCCAUUCCCGUAAGAGGACAGAGCUUAUGGGAGAGCCCGCACGCGCACACACGUGGCCCAGUAAAUGUUCCUUUUGUGUUUCCUCGGUGACCUUGGUCCAGGCCACUCGUGGCCCUGAGAAAGAUCUCAAAGGUUGUUGGUUGGUUGGCUUUUUUGCCCGAGACCCAGAUGUGCAGUUCCCCCGGAGGGCAGCCAAAGAAUCAGGAAGGAAAGAAGAACGGCCGUUGGGCCCAAUUUCUCACACACGCUGUAAAAGGGGCCGUUCGUGCGACAGUCGGAAACUAGAGAAAGCCCCACCGAGCAAGGACGACUCAAAGAGAAGCUUGUGUCGUGGUGCGGGGCUGCCGCACCGUGAUCAGCUGCCUGGGGCAGGAUGCUUCCAAAACCACCCUUCUGUGUGUUUACUUCUAGUCCGUCCCUGUCCGUGAACAUGGGGACACUCAUCAGUAUGUUAACUAGUAAGAGGAGGGAUUGUUCUCCAACCAAUGCAUAAAAUAUGUAUGCUCUGUCAUUCCUAAGGCUUUGAAACUGUUCUGUACAGGUCUGGGGUGAGUUUUGUUUUGAAAUGUGUUGCUCAUAGGUCACUGCCUUCUGCGUAGCUCUCCAAACUCCGUUCACACACGCUGAGCCCCGCUGACCUUGUGUUUUCAUGGGGCCGUUGGCUUUAAAAAGAAAGUUUUUUUUGAAAACGGUUUGCAUUUUGGAUUUUUUUUUCCCCCUUGAGAUUUUAGGAUGAAGGAGAUGUUGAGCUGAAAAAGGAAAACACCUCCAGGGCUCAGUUUUGUCAGCAACGAGAUCUGAACUUAAAGUCCCCCAUUGCAAGAUGGCCGUAAAGCACGACGUGUCACCUUUUAGAGUUUUAACGUUUCUCCUCCUGCAGAACAGGAAGCCUAGCCUGGUGUUAGGUUUUUCCUUUUGUGCUACAAAGAACCAUUGUACGUACAGUGUUAGUUCUAGCCUCUCGGUCAUAUGUUUGGUUUUCAGAGGUAUUUUGAAUGAAAAGAUUUCCUGGCAAGAGCUCCAUUGGACUUAGAGAAAACAAAAACGUAAGGAUAGAAUAAACCUAGAAGGUGAACACCAAGCUUCUCUCUCUUUCCUGCUCCAAACUCCUCUGCCAUCAUAGUCAGACAUGCCCAGAGAUGGAUGAAAAAGCCUCCCUUAGCUGCAACUUAUGACAGAGGUUUUUAACUCUUACAUGUAGACCACGAAGCUUUUUUGACCUAUAUUAUUCCUGCACAUGAAGUCAACACAUUUCAUAAAAGUAGAUGUUUCUCUGGGACAUCUGGGUGUUCGGAGGCCACUGUCAGGGACGACCAGCAGCCUGGCCUGCUCCUUCACACUUCCACGGAGGAAGGCUGGGAAGCGUCAAGGCACACUGGGGCCAUCGCCACUCCAGAAGGCCACAGCAUGUGGGCUUUACCUCACAGCUAAUGAAGGAGCAAGAGAGGCCUCCUCUCCCAGUCCCCCUGUAAGGAGUUUGCUGGUAGUACUUAGCAGCCAAAAUAAUAAGGGGAAGCCAAGAGCUUCCAAGGAAUCCUUUGACAGGCUUGUUAAUGUCUUCCAAACAGGAAGGAGUGUGCCUCUCCAUAAAAAUCACUUCUUUCUCAACCACCUUACAGUACAAUAGCUUCCUCUAGAGAUGAUUUUUUUUUUUUUUUAAUUAGGCCUAUACAUUUUAAAGUGGUGUCUCUACAUUUAAAUCCCUGAUUUAAUCCCCUUCCCUGUCUUCAGGGAUGACCUAGAGUUUCCCCUCACUCAGGCAUGGUGAGAUUUCCCAUCCCUUUCCCCAUGGAAAGCUGCCACUCCCAGCAGGCUGCCGCACGCAGGCUUUCCUCACGGCUAAUGAAGGGGCAAGAGAGGUCCUCUGAGGGGACCUGCCGAAUUGUUCCAUACAGGGCUCCCGGCCAGUCCCUGGGAAUGAUGCCCCCCACCACCCCAGAGGCAUUUUCUCAGGAAUCAGGAUCAACCUGGUCGCUAAUGGAUUAUGUUCCACACUUCAAGAGCAGGUGGUUCCUUGAGGAACACGUGAAAUGGAGAAAAUAAAUGGCGCGCGUGUGUGUACGUAUACACACACAACACUCACAGAGAAACCCACUGAGGAAAAGUCGCUGUUGGCUUCCAGGAGCCUGCGAGGCUGGUUUUCUUGCUGCCUGCUGUUCAGGCCCUCACAAGGGGGAUCUCUUCUCCACCCAGUCAGGCCUGCCAGAGCCGUACUGGACUGGGCAGCAUUAAAGCAAUAAAGGUCGGUGUCGAGAAAUCAUACAGUCAAGAGCAGAGGGAGGAGGAGGCCAGGGGAAACUUCUCUUACAGUCUUGGUGGAGUACCCCUCAAGCGUUGUGUGUGUGGUUGGUGUGGUUUGAUUUAGAGGAAGGGAGAAAACCAGGAUUCGUUGUCUUGUGCUGUUCUUCUCUGCCCAUUUUGAUGGUUUCGGGAGAAAGUUCCAGACACACAGUAGGGUCUUGAUUGCUGAGUUCAUGCUGCUGCUCUCUCCCUCAGCCUCCUCUCGGCCAUGAGCUGUGUUUUCCUUUACGUCAGCAUCCAGGCCAAAUACUUAAGAAGUGCCACGCUUUCCAAGAGAAGGUGCUAGUGAAAAUUAAGUCCAGCCUGGAAAAUCAGUGUGGAACAUAAACCACCGUCCUCCGCUUCCUCCCUCUGCCCUUCCUCCUUGUUCGUUAUACCAUUGCUUCCAGCUCAGUCCACGUUGUUGAGUUCUGAACAGUGCGAGGACCUAACCUCUUGGAGCAACUUGCCCUAAAUGAUAGCCUUCAGACCCAGCCCCCUGGGGGAUUAUGGCUGCUCAUGAAUAAACCUGUAAAACUGAAGGAUCCCCAACUGGUAGAAUAUGCAAGAAGAUAUUUUUUGUUCAGAUGCCUCUUAUGGGGGCCUGUUGCCCAUGGUAACACAUGGAAACUACCUUGCCUGGCCACAGCCACCCACCCUCGCCUUCCUGUUCUCAAAUUUGUAGGGGAUAUCAGAGUGCUUGGUCAUCAUGGCAGAAAGGACAGCUAAAAGGCCUAAGAUGGAAAAUUCCAAAAAGCAAAGAUCUAUACCUCAGAGGUCUGGGACUGCCCUGGACGCAGGGAUCGAACUCCUCCUUCUCAGAGAUCAGGCACGUGGUAGCGUGAUUUCCCUUUGUAGGGUUAGUUUCAUCUGGGGAUGUACUGUAUGAGCUUGACCAUUUCUAAACAUGUAUUUAUUCAUUCAUUCCUUGAUGAAGAUUCUGGACCAGCUACAAAGAUGAAAAAGACACGAUCCCCUCCUCUAAGAGCUCACAGUUCAAUGAGCCACACAGACCUGAACACACACAAAAGCAAUAGAAUAACAAUAUUAAGAGACUAGCUCUGACUGGGCCCAAGGAGGGCGGAUUCAUGGUGAUGGGAAGUUCAGCCUCCUGGAUUCAGGAAUGAGGAAGUUUGGGGGCGGGGAGGGGGCAUGGGGCAUGGUCUAGAACCAAGAACCAAAGAGGAGUGGGGAUCUGCCAGAAAGAUGGGGCAGGAGGUCUGCUCUCCUGAGAUGACCUCAGGAACAAGUGGAUAGACUUUAUGUAAAAGGCUAGGUGGUAAGCAUUUUGAGGCUUUGAGAAGCAUACGGUGUCUGUCACAGCCACUCAACUCUGUUGUAGCGGGAGAGCAGCUCAUGUAUAAACAAACGCAUGAGCUGUAUCCCAAUAAAGCUUUAUUUACAAAGACAGUGGCCAAGGGCAGGAGUGUGCUGAGUUCUGAAGCAGCACUGCAUGUUGGGGGGGAGGGUGGGUUUCCAGCAGCGGAGACUGCUCUAGCAUGGACCAGGUCACGUGCUAGAGGGGGCCUACAGCCAGCUGUCCACCAGCCCUGACGUAUACUGUCCACAGGAGUCUAAGGCAGGUAUCCCAUUUUCCAAGAAUGAGGUAAGUAGCCCUGACUGGCAGGGUUUACAACGGAGGCAACAUCAUCUCUCUCUCAUAGGGGACUUUGAGCUGCAGCUCCUUUCAGCUCCGAUACUGCAUAGCUCUGCCACAGUAAUUGUCCUGUUUUCUUAGGUGGUGAAAUGGGUAUGGGGGAGGAAAUAAAGGAAUGAGUUUAAAUCCAAAUAGUAUUUCACACCCCUUCCCACCAACACGAAACAUUGGCACCGUGACGCUAAUACACCAGGUGGAGUAAUCGGUAAACACUAAUAAAAACUAAUAAUAAUAGUAGCUAACACUUACCGAGCACUUACUGUGAACCAGCUUCUUACACAUAGGAGCUCGUUUAAUCUCAACAAUAGCCCUGUGAGGCAGGAACUGUUAUUAGCAUCAGCGUACAGGAGAGGAGGCAGGGAAGGCUUCCAGAAUUGGCUCAAGGCCAUGAAGCAGAGCUGGGAUUCCAACCCACGUCUGUGUGGAUCCAAAGCCCGUGAUCUUGGGUUUACAGGUACCCCCGCCUACUGAGCAAGAAGUGAGACAGCCCUCUCCACCCAUAGGGACUGCCUCCUCCAGAGGACUCGGGCUUAAAUGGACUGUGGGUCCUACCCUCUCUCACAUGCCUCUUAAUAUAACCAGCAGGACACCAUGACAGCUGCCUUCUGGGGACUUCUUCCUGUGUUGUUCUGGGUCUUAACCACAGUGCCCAGUGAUCAAUUUCUAUGAGGUAUCCUACCAGAAGCCGACAAUAACAGGAAACAGGAGACUCCUCUGAUACAUUUUCUGACACAUCAGAGAGACAUUGCUCAGGGCUGGUCAUCAGCUUCAGUGGGGACACCCUAGACACUUCCCACAGGCACCGCCAUGUUCCUCAGCAUCAACCCCAGGAUUCUGGCUCUGGCCCAGGGCCUUCAGACAUACCAAUGCUGGCCAUUGCUUGGAUAGGUCUUACUCUAUGAUCAGAUACUAGACUUUUAGGAACAGACUUUCUAGAUGUUUCUAUUUUUGCAUUAAACUCAGGCCAACAAUUAGUAUUUGAUGUUUAGCAUAAAAUUCUGAAUAUUUUUCCAUAAGGCAAGGUGAUUGUGUUCUUCUUCAAAUAGAAUGGUAAAUUUUCUGGAGGUUUAAACAUUCUGUAGGUUGACAUCUUGCCAUUAAAUCCCCCAAAAUAAUGUUUUUUCUUAAAUUCAUGCUAACUUAAUAGAAGAGAGCUGUCACAGUGAUAGGUUCAUCAAAACUGUUCAAUUUUAUCAUCCAAGGUCAGAAGAUGAAUGGGAAGUAUGCAGUGUAGGAAGUUGCAUUACAGAAGGAACACAAGCAAGACAUAGGUUAGUCCGGCACCUCAAAAGAGGAAGGGGUUGGGGGGCUCACAUGUAAGAGCCUGCUACCUACAUGCCAGGCGUCCUAGGCAUGGUCCCAGGCAAUGCACCCAAGCAGCUUUACAGCAGGUAAAGGUAAGUCUAAUUUUUCCACUUUUACAGAUCAGUUAACUAGUUUACUGAAGGCUCCCAAGUUCACACAGGCCACCAGGAACCAAUGCCAGGUCUGUCUGACUCCCGAACCAGUGCUCUACUGCACCACGUCAUCACCAACUCAAAAGCACAGAUCUGCCUCUUAGGAAGCUCCGAUGCCAGCAGGGCAUCUCCUCUUGGGAAAACCCCCACAGAAAUCUGUAUUUCAUAGAGAAAUGAGCCAAGAGCCAGAGGUGAGACCUCUGCAAAAUUUUACAUAGGGCACAGGAAUCAAAAAUGAAAAAAAAAAAAAAAAAACUUUUACCUUAGUAAUGAAACAUCAAAGACCUUUAAACACACCCCUCCUUCCUUCUUCCAACUUAGCCACAUCGGUAGAAGUGUCCUGGCCACUCCUCGUCCCCUAUCUUGCUCAUUCUGGACACAAGAACCAGCUCCAACUCUUGCUUCUGUCCUACCCUGCCCAGCUCCCAGUUCCCCAGGCUUCCAGCAGAACCCGACCCCCACCAAGACCACAAGAACUUGAUCCUCACAGAAGUUGAGGAAGGAUCCUCUGAAUUGCUCUGAACACAGGGGCUGCCUCCUAUCAGCCAGAUCUCAGCUGCAAAAUCCUGAGGAAAAGAGUGACAUUUCCCCACUGUCACCUUUUCUGUCACCGGGUCAGAGUCUAAAGAGGACAAGUAAAUGAGUGGGGACUUGUAGGUCUCCACUGUGCCUAUCACUGAACAGCAGAGCCGCACGUCAUGCUCAGCGAGACCUACCCAGCUUGUAAAUCAUCCCAGGGACUAGCUGAGUUUUUAAUGUCUUUUAGAUGAAGCCACAACAUCUCUUUUGGAAGGGUGGCAUAGGCUCAAAAACCUUGCCCCAGUGAGGAGACUGUUUGACGCAGUGUGUGGUGCAUCCUGUGGCUGGAAAGAAAAGUGUCCAGGAUGCUGGAGGAAAAAGCAUGACAUAAGAUACAGGCACAGAGUACCAAGACAUUGAGACUGAGAAAACCUGCCCCGAGUCACAUUCACCUUCAGAAGACUCCUUUGUGAGACGCUGAGGGCCUGGCCCUCCUCCUCCUCCUCCAGAGAACAGCCCGCCACUAUCCACAGACCUCGCAGGCCCGACUUAGCGUGCUCUGCCCUGCCCAAGAACCCAAGGGUCCCUGUGUGGAUUAUCCGGCCAGCGAGUGGUCCUUUGAGGCUCCCAGCACAGGCCUGUGAUGAGGACCGAGGAGGUGUCUGUGGUCAGGAGUCCUCCGAACCCUUGCAAGGCAAUUUUCCUGGGUUGCUAAAGAGUAAUGUUGACCAGGUGUGCAAAUUCCCUUUGGCCUAUCCCUCCCUUGGUUCCUGUGGGGAGGUCCUGCUGACACGCUUUAGAAACCCCCCUCUCCAGAAUGCUUCUCUGAUGGAAGGCUCCAACAGCUCUUCCCAAAGCAGCCGAGGCUGGAUUACAACGGGGUGAGGGUACGGGGGUGGUAAAAAUGACCCUGUUUCACAGAAGGGAUGGGGGAAAAAAAGCACAUACUCAAUAGAUUUUGAGUGUGGUAUUCUGUAUUUUUGCAGCUUAUAUUUUCCAGAUGAGCAGUUUAGAAAUAUGUGAUGUAAAGUACACACUGUACAUUUGCUGAAAAUUAUAUUAAAAGCACUAUUUUAAUUCUU